rnacentral:rRNA from 1 species
UUCCAGACUCCUACGGGAGGCAGCAGUAGGGAAUCUUUCACAAUGGGCGAAAGCCUGAUGGAGCAACGCCGCGUGCAGGAUGAAGGCCUUCGGGUUGUAAACUGCUUUUAUAAGCGAGAAAUAUGAUGGUAACUUAUGAAUAAGGAUCGGCUAACUACGUGCCAGCAGCCGCGGUAAUACGUAGGGGGCAAGCGUUAUCCGGAAUUACUGGGUGUAAAGGGAGCGCAGACGGCAGUGCAAGUCUGGAGUGAAAGCCCGUGGCUUAACCACGGGACUGCUCUGGAAACUGUGCAGCUAGAGUGCAGGAGAGGCAGGCGGAAUUCCUAGUGUAGCGGUGAAAUGCGUAGAUAUUAGGAGGAACACCGGUGGCGAAGGCGGCCUGCUGGACUGUAACUGACGUUGAGGCUCGAAAGCGUGGGGAGCAAACAGGAUUAGAUACCCGGGUACC